rnacentral:rRNA from 1 species
GACGGGUGAGUAAUGUCUGGGAAACUGCCUGAUGGAGGGGGAUAACUACUGGAAACGGUGGCUAAUACCGCAUAACGUCGCAAGACCAAAGAGGGGGACCUUCGGGCCUCUUGCCAUCAGAUGUGCCCAGAUGGGAUUAGCUUGUUGGUGAGGUAACGGCUCACCAAGGCGACGAUCCCUAGCUGGUCUGAGAGGAUGACCAGCCACACUGGAACUGAGACACGGUCCAGACUCCUACGGGAGGCAGCAGUGGGGAAUAUUGCACAAUGGGCGCAAGCCUGAUGCAGCCAUGCCGCGUGUAUGAAGAAGGCCUUCGGGUUGUAAAGUACUUUCAGCGGGGAGGAAGGUGUUGUGGUUAAUAACCGCAGCAAUUGACGUUACCCGCAGAAGAAGCACCGGCUAACUCCGUGCCAGCAGCCGCGGUAAUACGGAGGGUGCAAGCGUUAAUCGGAAUUACUGGGCGUAAAGCGCACGCAGGCGGUCUGUCAAGUCGGAUGUGAAAUCCCCGGGCUCAACCUGGGAACUGCAUUCGAAACUGGCAGGCUUGAGUCUUGUAGAGGGGGGUAGAAUUCCAGGUGUAGCGGUGAAAUGCGUAGAGAUCUGGAGGAAUACCGGUGGCGAAGGCGGCCCCCUGGACAAAGACUGACGCUCAGGUGCGAAAGCGUGGGGAGCAAACAGGAUUAGAUACCCUGGUAGUCCACGCCGUAAACGAUGUCUACUUGGAGGUUGUGCCCUUGAGGCGUGGCUUCCGGAGCUAACGCGUUAAGUAGACCGCCUGGGGAGUACGGCCGCAAGGUUAAAACUCAAAUGAAUUGACGGGGGCCCGCACAAGCGGUGGAGCAUGUGGUUUAAUUCGAUGCAACGCGAAGAACCUUACCUGGUCUUGACAUCCACAGAAGAAUCCAGAGAUGGAUUUGUGCCUUCGGGAACUGUGAGACAGGUGCUGCAUGGCUGUCGUCAGCUCGUGUUGUGAAAUGUUGGGUUAAGUCCCGCAACGAGCGCAACCCUUAUCCUUUGUUGCCAGCGAUUAGG